rnacentral:ncRNA from 1 species
CAUUUAUACGAAAGGAAAAGAGUUUAGCAUUGACUUUGAAAAGGAUAGAAGAGUUGCUUGGGCCUAACAACAUAAAUACAUAUAAGGCAUUAUUAGCUGCUUGCUGGCAUCUAACUAGUUUUUUCA